UAGAUAGAUUAUUGUAUUCGACUGUAUUCACGACGUGAAAUAGGGGAUUACACUUUUUUAAAACGGAAAGUGAAUCAAUUAACAUAAUAGACGCCU
rnacentral:pre_miRNA from 1 species